rnacentral:rRNA from 1 species
GACAGAGGUUGCAAACGUUGUUCGGAAUCACUGGGCAUAAAGCGCACGUAGGUGGUCCGCUAAGUCGAUUGUGAAAUUCCCCCGGCUCAACCGGGGAACUGCAAACGAUACUGGCGGGCUUGAGGUCCGGAGGGGUGAGUGGAACUCCUGGUGGAGCGGUGAAAUGCGUAGAUAUCAGGAGGAACACCGGUGGCGAAAGCGGCUCACUGGCCGAAAUCUGACACUGAGGUGCGAAAGCUAGGGUAGCAAACGGG